GGUUCCAUGGUGUAAUGGCUAGCACUCUGAACUCUGAUUCCAGCAAUCAGAGUUCAAAUCUCAGUGGAAUCU
rnacentral:tRNA from 1 species